UACGAAGGGAGCUAGCGUUGUUCGGAAUCACUGGGCGUAAAGCGCACGUAGGCGGAUGUGUCAGUCAGGGGUGAAAUCCCGGUGCUCAACUUCGGAACUGCCUUUGAUACAGCACGUCUUGAGUCCGGAAGAGGUGGGUGGAAUUCCUAGUGUAGAGGUGAAAUUCGUAGAUAUUAGGAAGAACACCGGUGGCGAAGGCGGCCCACUGGUCCGGUACUGACGCUGAGGUGCGAAAGCGUGGGGAGCAAACAGG
rnacentral:rRNA from 1 species